rnacentral:rRNA from 1 species
UACGUAGGCAGCAAGCGUUGUUCGGAAUUACUGGGCGUAAAGAGUGUGUAGGCGGUGCUCUAAGUUUGGUGUGAAAUCUCCCGGCUCAACUGGGAGGGUGCGCCGAAAACUGGAAUGCUUGAACGUGGGAGAGGAAAGCGGAAUUCCUGGUGUAGCGGUGAAAUGCGUAGAUAUCAGGAGGAACACCUGCGGUGUAGACGGCUUUCUGGACCAUUGCUGACGCUGAGACACGAAAGCGUGGGUAGCAAACAGGG